AUGGGGCGGCCAAGGCUGGAAGGCCAGGUGCCCAGACUCAGUCACCCUAGCAGCCCAGGCAGGUGUGUGUGUGUGUGUGUGUGUGUGUGUGUGAAUGUGUGGUGUGUGUUGUCUGGGAAUGUGCAUUGUGUGAUGUGUGCAUGUGGUAUGUAUAUGAUGUGUGGUCUGUGUGUGUGUGCCUGUGUGCAUUUUGUAUUUUGUGUGUGUGUGGUGUGUGUGUCUGUGUAUGUGCCUGUGUGUGGUGUGUGUGCACUGCAUGUGUAUGUAUCUGUGUGCGCUAUGUGUGUUGUUCAUGUGUGCUGUGUGUGGUGUGUGGUGUGUAUGUCAUGUGGUGUGAGGUGUGUGGUGUGUGGUGUGUAUGUCAUGUGGUGUGCCGUGUGUGUUGUGUGGUGUGCUGUGUGUGGUGUGUAUGGUGCAUGUGUUGUGUGUGCUGUGUGUGCUAUGUGUGUGGUGUGUCUGUGUGUAGUGCGUAUAUAAUGCGCAUUGUCUGUGUGUGAGAUGUGUGUUGUAUGUGUUGUAUGUUCUCUCUGUGUGUUGGGUGUGUAAUGUGUGUCUGGGUAUGUAGUGUGCAUGUAAUAUGUAUGUAAUGGCUGGGCGCAGUGGCUCACACCUGUAAUCCUAGCACUUUGGGAGGCUAAGGCAAGUGGAUCAUGAGGUCAAGAGAUGGAGACCAUCCUGGCCAACACGGUGAAACCCUGUCUCUACUAAAAAUUAGUCUAGGAAAAAUUAGCUGGGGGUGGUGGCGUGUGCCUGUAAUCUCAGCUACUUGGGAGGCUGAGGCAGGAGAAUUGCUUGAAACCAGGAGGCAGAGGUUGCAGAGAGCCAAGAUUUCGCCACUGCACUCCAGCCUGGUAACAGAGCAAGGCUCCGUCUCAAAAAAAGUAUGUGAUGUGUGUCUGUGUGUGUUGUGUUGUGUGUUUGUGUGUUUGUAUGUCUGCGUGUGGUGUGUUUGUGUGUGAUGUGUAUUGUGUGUAUGUGUUAUAUAUGCUUAUGAGUGUCAUGUGUGGUUUGUGUUGUCUGUGUGUUAUGUAUAUGUGACUGUGUUGUGUCUGUGUUGUAUGUGUGUUGUCUGUGUGUCAUGUGUGUGAUGUGUAUUGUCUGUGUGUGUUAUGUGAUAUGUUUGAAGUAUGUGUUGUAUGUGUGUGUUGUGUGAUGUGUGUAGUGUGUGUUUCUGUAUGUUGUGUGUGGUGUAUGUGUCAUAUUGCUAUCUGUGUGUGAUGUGUGUCUGUGUGUGUAUGGUGUGUGUGGUGUGUGCGAGAUGUAUGUUGUGUGUGUUGUGCAUUGUGUGUGGCAUGUGGUAUUUCUGUUUUGUGUUGUGUAUGUUGUGUGUGUGUGGUGUGUAUUGAAUGUGUUAUGGUGUAUCUGGUGUAUGGUAUGUCUGUGUAUAAUGUGUGUCUGUGUGUGUAUGGUGUGUGUUGUGUUUGUGUUGUGUGUGGCAUGUGUGUUGUGUGUGUAUGUUGUACAUUGUGUGUGGCAU
rnacentral:lncRNA from 13 species